UACGUAGGGUGCAAGCGUUGCCCGGAUUUAUUGGGCGUAAAGGGCGCGUAGGCGGCUCUGCACGUUCGUUGUGAAAUCGCCCGGCUCAACUGGGCGGGGUCAGCGGAUACGGCAGAGCUUGAGCAAGCUAGGGGGCAAUGGAAUUCCUGGUGUAGCGGUGAAAUGCGCAGAUAUCAGGAAGAACACCCGUGGCGAAGGCAGCUCUCUGGGACGGUACUGACGCUGAGACGCGAAAGCGUGGGGAGCGAACAGG
rnacentral:rRNA from 1 species